rnacentral:rRNA from 1 species
GACGUAGGGCGCGAGCGUUGUCCGGAAUCAUUGGGCGUAAAGAGCUCGUAGGCGGUUUGUCACGUCUGCUGUGAAAACUCGGGGCUUAACCCCGAGCUUGCAGUGGAUACGGGCAGACUAGAGGUAGGUAGGGGAGAAUGGAAUUCCCGGUGUAGCGGUGAAAUGCGCAGAUAUCAGGAGGAACACCAAUAGCGAAGGCAGCUCGCUGGGACGGUACUGACGCUAAGGCGCGAAAGCGUGGGGAGCGAACAGG